rnacentral:rRNA from 1 species
AUUGAACGCUGGCGGCAGGCCUAACACAUGCAAGUCGAACGAGUGGCGGACGGGUGAGUAAUGUAUGGGGAACUGCCCGAUAGAGGGGGAUAACUACUGGAAACGGUGGCUAAUACCGCAUACUAUCGGAUGAACCCAGAUGGGAUUAGCUAGUAGGUGGGGUAAAGGCUCACCUAGGCGACGAUCCCUAGCUGGUCUGAGAGGAUGACCAGCCACACUGGAACUGAGACACGGCCCAGACUCCUACGGGAGGCAGCAGUGGGGAAUAUUGCACAAUGGGCGCAAGCCUGAUGCAGCCAUGCCGCGUGUAUGAAGAAGGCCUUCGGGUUGUAAAGUACUUUCAGCGAGGAGGCGUUACCCGCAGAAGAAGCACCGGCUAACUCCGUGCCAGCCGCCGCGGUAAUAC